rnacentral:rRNA from 1 species
CACGUAGGCGGAUUGUUAAGUCAGGGGUGAAAUCCUGGAGCUCAACUCCAGAACUGCCCUUGAUACUGGCGAUCUUGAGUCCGGGAGAGGUGAGUGGAACUGCGAGUGUAGAGGUGAAAUUCGUAGAUAUUCGCAAGAACACCAGUGGCGAAGGCGGCUCACUGGCCCGGUACUGACGCUGAGGUGCGAAAGCGUGGGGAGCAACA